GUGGGCACGUUGUCGUCCAGAGAGCAAGAGCGUCGCUCCCCCUCGCCUUCUCGGCCGCCCUCCCGGUUUACCGCCCCCUGUGUCCAGAGAUCACAGAUGGAGAGACAUUUUGCCACACGAUGAAUCACACAAUUUAUAAACUCUCCUCUGUCACUGGCUGCUGAACAGAAGGAACCCUGUGAAAGUUGUGUCAUCGUCCUCAUCAGCAAACAAGCCAUUGAACCUCUCUCCUCCUGUCACCUGCAGCCACAUCUCAUCCCCGAGCUUCAGCUGCAGGACAAUGCUGCCAGAGGCCUGGUCCUCAGAGCUCACGAUCUUAUCAAAUUUAAUGGGCACAUCUGAAGAAGGAAACUUGCUCAGCACCGUGAGCCCCACAGUGAAAGCACUUUUUGGCAAGACUAGAGUCUCACCGAUUUUCCCUUUCUCUCCUCGAUCUCCUUUCCAGCCUCUUAUUCCCCGGACUCCUGGCUCACCCUGGGGCCCCGUGGGUCCAGCUUCUCCCUUGGGACCAGGCUUUCCAAUAGGGCCCAUGGGGCCCGGUAAACCAGUUGGGCCCAAAGGCCCAAUGUUGCCCCUUGGCCCCUCAGGACCAGUGGGACCCACGUCACCCUUAUUCCCCUUCUGCCCCUGAGGCCCAGUCUCUCCUCGGAGGCCUUUCUCUCCCAUGGGCCCUGCAAGCCCCUUGGGGCCAUGUUUUCCUGGGGAUCCUCUUGAGCCUUGAUCACCUUUGAUGCCUUUUGCUUCAACUUUUCCAUCUGCUCCUAAAUAGAGAAAGAGCAAAUAAAGAGAUAGUUUGUGAAAGA
rnacentral:lncRNA from 1 species